UGCGGGAUCGUCUAAUGGUAGGACAACGGACUCUGAAUCCGUUAAUCUUGGUUCGAAUCCAGGUCCCGCAGCCA
rnacentral:tRNA from 1 species